CGAGCGGACGGACCGGACAGAGCCGAACACUGACGUCUUUCUCUAGCUUAGGUACACUGGCGCCUGGAGGAAACGCGUAUUGCCCAAACCCAAUUAAUUUAACCGGUUGCUAAGCUGGCUUAAUUAUAGUAGCUGUAGUUUUAUCGGCCUGCACAAUCUGUUCCUUGUAAUGCAUCGCCCCACGUGUAUUUCAAUCUUGGACCGCAAUCAGCAACCACGCAGCCAGCUACGAGCGCCUGGAAUGUACGUGAAAAGAAAAGUUAGUAAAUAUUCCGAGAAUGGAUUCAACUCACGCACGCUAAAUGGCCUAAUUUGGAAUAUAUCACUUUAAAUUGCUAA